rnacentral:tRNA from 1 species
GGGGGAGUGUCGGAACUGGUAGACGAUGCGGACUUAAAAUCCGCUGGUGGCAGCACCGUGAGGGUUCGAUCCCCUUCUCCCCUACCA